rnacentral:rRNA from 1 species
UACGGAGGGUGCAAGCAUUGAUCGGAAUUACUGGGCGUAAAGGGCGCGUAGGCGGCGCAACAAGUCACUUGUGAAAUCCCCGGGCUUAACCUGGGAACUGCACUUGUGACUGCACAGCUGGAGUGCGGCAGAGGGGGAUGGAAUUCCGCGUGUAGCAGUGAAAUGCGUAGAUAUGCGGAGGAACACCGAUGGCGAAGGCAAUCCCCUGGGCCUGCACUGACGCUCAUGCACGAAAGCGUGGGGAGCAAACAGG